GACGAACGCUGGCGGCGUGCUUAACACAUGCAAGUCGAACGGAAAGGCCCUGCCUUUGUGGUGUGCUCGAGUGGCGAACGGGUGAGUAACACGUGAGUAACCUGCCCUUGACUGUGGGAUAACUUCAGGAAACUGGGGCUAAUACCGGAUAGGAGCUCAUGCUGCAUGGUGGGGGUUGGAAAGUUUCGGUGGUUGGGGAUGGACUCGCGGCUUCUCAGCUUGUUGGUGGGGUAGUGGCGUACCAAGGCUAUGACGGGUAGCCGGCCUGGGAGGGUGACCGGCCACAGAGGGACUGGGGUGCGGGCCGUAGUGCUACGUGGGGCAUCAGUGGGGGACAGUGCGAAAUGGGCGGCGGCCGUAUGGAGGAUCGCCGCGUGGUGGAUGACGGUUGUCGGGGUGGAAACCGUGUUCGCCUGGGACGAAGCGUGAGUGACGGUAAUUUGUAAAGAAGCACCGGCUAACUACGUG
rnacentral:rRNA from 1 species